UACGUAGGGGGCAAGCGUUGUCCGGAUUUAUUGGGCGUAAAGAGCGUGUAGGCGGCUUGGUAGGUCCGCUGUGAAAACUCGAGGCUCAACCUCGAGAUGUCGGCGGAAACCACUUGGCUAGAGUCCGGAAGAGGAGAGUGGAAUUCCCGGUGUAGCGGUGAAAUGCGCAGAUAUCGGGAAGAACACCUAUGGCGAAGGCAGCUCUCUGGGACGGUACUGACGCCGAGACGCGAAAGCGUGGGGAGCGAACAGG
rnacentral:rRNA from 1 species